rnacentral:rRNA from 1 species
AGAGUUUGAUCCUGGCUCAGAGUGAACGCUGGCGGCAUGCCUAACACAUGCAAGUCGAACGGUAACAGGCCCGCAAGGGUGCUGACGAGUGGCGGACGGGUGAGGAAUACAUCGGAAUUUGCCCAGUCGUGGGGGAUAACGUAGGGAAACUUACGCUAAUACCGCAUACGACCUAACGGUGAAAGCGGGGGAUCGCAAGACCUCGCGCGAGUGGAUGAGCCGAUGUCGGAUUAGCUAGUUGGCGGGGUAAAGGCCCACCAAGGCGACGAUCCGUAGCUGGUCUGAGAGGAUGAUCAGCCACACUGGGACUGAGACACGGCCCAGACUCCUACGGGAGGCAGCAGUGGGGAAUAUUGGACAAUGGGGGCAACCCUGAUCCAGCAAUGCCGCGUGUGUGAAGAAGGCCUUCGGGUUGUAAAGCACUUUUAUCCGGAACGAAACGCGCAGGGUGAAUAUCCUUGCGAACUGACGGUACCGGAGGAAUAAGCACCGGCUAACUUCGUGCCAGCAGCCGCGGUAAUACGAAGGGUGCAAGCGUUACUCGGAAUUACUGGGCGUAAAGGGUGCGUAGGUGGUUGUUUAAGUCUGUUGUGAAAGCCCCGGGCUCAACCUGGGAAUGGCAAUGGAUACUGGACAGCUAGAGUGCGGUAGAGGGUAGUGGAAUUCCCGGUGUAGCAGUGAAAUGCGUAGAGAUCGGGAGGAACACCA